AACGAACGCUGGCGGCAUGCCUAACACAUGCAAGUCGAACGAGACCUUCGGGUCUAGUGGCGCACGGGUGCGUAACGCGUGGGAACCUGCCCUUAGGUUCGGAAUAACUCCCCGAAAGGGGUGCUAAUACCGGAUAAUGUCUUCGGACCAAAGAUUUAUCGCCUUUGGAUGGGCCCGCGUUGGAUUAGCUAGUUGGUAGGGUAAAAGCCUACCAAGGCGACGAUCCAUAGCUGGUCUGAGAGGAUGAUCAGCCACACUGGGACUGAGACACGGCCCAGACUCCGAGGGGAGGCAGAGGGGGGGAAUAUUGGACAAGGGGCGAAGGCCUGAUCAAGCAAUGCCGCGGGAGUGAGGAGGGCCUGGGGGUUGAAAAGUCUUUUUACCCGGGAGGAUAAGGACGGACCGGGGAAAAAAAGCCCCGGCAAACCCCGUG
rnacentral:rRNA from 1 species